GGAGAGGUGGCUGAGUGGUCGAAAGCGCCACACUGCUAAUGUGGUAUACGGGCUUCAAUCCGUAUCGAGGGUUCGAAUCCCUCCCUCUCCG
rfam:Candidatus Peregrinibacteria bacterium CG1_02_54_53 cg1_0.2_scaffold_717_c, whole genome shotgun sequence.